GCGCCCGUAGCUCAGGCGGAUAGAGCGAGUGCCUUCUAAGCACUGGGUCGCAGGUUCGAGUCCUGCCGGGCGCGCCA
rnacentral:tRNA from 1 species